rnacentral:tRNA from 1 species
AGGCGCGUAGCUCAGCUGGUUAGAGCGCUACCUUGACACGGUAGAGGUCAGCGGUUCGAAUCCGCUCGUGCCUA